AUGUCGUCUGGUCAGCAGGAGCAGCAGCACAGGACGGUGAGGUCGGAGCCGCCGAAGCGGCCCGCGGGGCGGACCAAGUUCCAGGAGACGCGCCACCCGCUGUACCGCGGCGUGUGGCAGCGGGGGCCCGCCGGGAGGCUCUGGCUCGGCACCUUCGUCACCGCCGAGAUGGCGGCGCGCGCCCACGACGCCGCCGUGCUCGCGCUCUCCGGCCGCAAAGCCUGCCUCAACUUCGCCGACUCCGCCUGGCGGAUGCUGCUCGUGCUCGCGGCCGGCUCCUUCGCCUUCGGCAGCGCGCGGGAGAUCAAGACCGCCGUCGCCGUCGUCCCGAGCGGCGCGCUAUUCUCCAUGUCGUCAGGCGACUUGCUGGAGCUCGACGACGAACAGUGGUUUGGCGGCAUGGUUGCCGGGUCGUACUACGAGAGCUUGGCGCAGGGGAUGCUGGUGGAGCCGCCGGAGGCCGGAGCAUGGCGAGAGGACAGCAAGCACAACGGUGUGGCGGAGACGCAGACGCUGUUGUGGAGCUAA
rnacentral:rRNA from 1 species